CCUACGGGGCGCAGCAGUGAGGAAUAUUGGUCAAUGGGCGAGAGCCUGAACCAGCCAAGUCGCGUGAGGGAAGACGGUCCUAUGGAUUGUAAACCUCUUUUGCCGGGGAGCAAAAAGCGGUACGUGUACCGCAUCGAGAGUACCCGGAGAAAAAGAAUCGGCAAACUCCGUGCAAGAAGCCGCGGAAAUACGGAGGAUGCGAGCGUUAUCCGGGUUUAUUGGGUUUAAAGGGUGCGAAGGCGGCGAGUUAAGUCAGCGGUAAAAUUAGGGGGCGCAACCC
rnacentral:rRNA from 1 species